rnacentral:tRNA from 1 species
UAUGAAUAAAAUCUCAUAUUA